rnacentral:lncRNA from 1 species
UUUUUUUUUUUUUUUUUUUUUAAGAUUUUAUUUAUUUAUUCAUGAAAGAUGCACACAGAGAGAGAGAGGCCGAGACACCAGCAGGCUCCAUGCAGGGAGCCUGACAUGGGACUCGAUCCCGGGUCUCCAGGAUCAGGCCCUGGGCUGAAGGUGGUGCUAAACCACUGAGCCACUCGGGCUGCCCACUCCUUGCUAUUCUAUAGAGAAAAAAUGAGUUAUUUCUUUGGUGUGUGGUGACUUACACUUGGGUAAAGUUUACCUCCCUCAUCUUUGUGUGUUUUUGCCUCCAUGAGAUAACAUGGUGGUGAAGGGUACCUUAGCUAUAGUUGAUGCUGUCAGUACUUUGCUCACCUGUGUUCCCUCAGCCUUUCUCGAGGUCACUUGUGGACAGUUUGCAGACUGAUAUCUUCCUGUAUCUGAGACUGUUCUUUGUCUAUGGGAGACUGAUAAGCCAUGCUCAAGGCAGGACAAAAGUGUCAGGAAGGUGGCCCAAAUUGGUUAGUAAAUGCGGCUGAGUUUUGUAGAUAAAUACCCUGACUUUCCUUGUCCCUCAGAGCUGAAUCUUUUUUCUUCUUCUUUUUUUUUUUUUUAAGAUUUUUAUUUAUUUAUUUUACAGAGAGAGCUCAAAUGUGCAUGGCGGGGGGGCAGAGGGAGAGAAUCCCCAAGCAGACUCCCGCUGAAGGAGGAGCCCACCUGCGGGGCUCCAUCUCAAGACGCUGAGAUCAGGACUUGUGCCAAAACUAAGAGUUGGACGCUCAACUGACUGAGCCACCCAGGCUUCCCCAUCCCCGAGCUGAUUCUGAGAUGUAUUCCACAUACUCUGUCUCAGAAGUUCCCUGGUAAGACCAAAUCCUAGUCAUUUGCCCUAAUAACCUGGCCAUUUACUGGGUUUCUUCCCUUCCCUGUCUCACUGUCCACCCCUCUUCUUCACCUUGUUUCCUGGGAAUCCCCUCCCAAAUAAACUAGAUGUACCCAAAUCCUCAUCUCAGAGGCUGCUUUUAGGAGGGACUCUAGGCAAUGACAGGCACAGAUUCUAGAGCAGGAUUGCCUUGUGGCAGAUUUUAGCUCUAUUACUAAUGGUUUUUCACUUACAGAAAUGAUUAGACAUUUUGUAACUUCAAUCUCUUCAUCUGGAGAAAAGGUAUAAUGGUAAUAGUUGUAGGAUGUUUUGUGACGCUUAACUGAAAUAAUAUGUAUCAAGCAUUUAGCACAAUGUCCACCACCUUGUAACUUUGCAACAGAAUUAACUUUCAUUAUUGUUAGUAUUAAUGUUGGUUUACUUCAGAUCCAUCUCCAAAUAGAUGGCAUGAACAGCCAUGAACAGCUACAGGCUUUAAACAUUCUGAUAGCUUUCUUGCACCUGCAUACACUCUUGGAGCUUAAAACUCAAAGUUUCUAAUGACCUAAAAGUUAUAGACAUGAGUAAAUGGAGGACACAUGUAGAUUUUGAGAAAGGGCUAAGCUAGUGGGGUAAAAAACCAGACUCCCCAUGCUUUAGUGAGUAGUCUGAUGUGGGCACCGAGCGAGGACAUUGUGAGAGACAAGUGGAUUAACAUUGAAGUUCAUGUUCCUGACACAUUAAGAUGAUAAACAAAUUGUCUUCUCUGCUAAAAGUUUGAAAAAUUCAGUCUUCUGUGCCCUCUACUUCAGUGUAACAGUAUAUCAAGAAGGAAUAUUCUAACAAGCAUUUGUUGGAUGCUUCUUGUGUCCCAAGCUCUCUGUUUGAUACUCAGUAAUUAAGACAUAAAACUUGGUCCCUGGCUUCAAGUGUGGUAGGGGAGACAGACAUAUAGACAGAUAAAUUACAGUACAAAGUACUGUGGCUGUCCCAGGAAGAGAGGAGAGUUCCUUUGGGAUAAGUCAGGGAAGAAGGAAGGGAACUUUUAUAUGCUUUAGUCUGCGCUGGGGGUGCUUUGAAAAUGAGGAGACUGAAGCUCACAACAACACGUGUAGGUUAACUGAAGCAUACAGCUACUAAGCAGGGAACCAGCAUUUGAACAAGUUUUCCUUCUUCAGGUUAUCUUCCAUCACGCCAGGCUGUAUUGGUGAGGGGUGGAAAAUCACUGUGAGCUGUACUCUAUGAGUAUGCCACCCUUGAUCACAAGAAAACCUAAUGGUUUUCUUAGUACAUGGUCUUAAAGUUUCUGGGUGUGUGGCACUUAACAUUUUGUUUAUUGAACAGGAAACAAUAUGAAGUUGGGGUGAUUCUUACAUCUAUAAUUUAAGUAGAAAGAGAAAAAGAGAUGUGGUAUCUGGACGACCUGCUAUUUAAAAUAAUAAUAAGUAGAACAUUUGGUUUUCCUAAGCAAGAUCAAGAGCAUUAGGUGGAGGAAUUGUGAUCAGGAGUAAUGUACACAGAGUUAUUUAUAUCUUUUGCUCUCUCAUUGAUUCACAACUUGAAAUUGUCUCUUUUUUUUCCCUUUAGUUGACCUCCACAGUAAGGCAAAAUUAAUCAACCCUUGUGAUUGAUCAGAUUGUUUGAGUAUAGAAAUAAUGAGGUUUUAUUUUAAAAAGUCAAGAGAUUGAGAUUGUAAAGCAGGAUUUGGGAGCAGGCUGUUGGUGGAAGAAGCAAUGUAAAAAAUCAAUACAAUAGCAUCUGAUGUUUACAAUAUUAGUUAGCAUCCUAGCUGAAAUAAGUAAUGGCCUCUGCCCUUAAAAGAUCAAAUAAGAGAUAAGAAACUCAGAAAAAAAAACAAAUUUAUAUACAAUAAUCAUGGAACUUUGUGACAUUAGUAAAGAAAAUGAAUGGAUUAAUCAGAGAUGAAGUGAGGACAAGAAGCCACCACUUACUGGACACAUGCUGAAGGCUUUUGUGCUAUAGAUAUAAAUACUCCCAUUUCACAGAUGAGGACCUUGAGAAGCAGAUAUGUAGGGUUAAAUUAAGUACCUUAGCUCAAGGGACAAAAGCAGAACCACACCUCAUGUUUAGGACUCAAUGCUGAGAAAACUGUUCUCUCCACUGCAGACCAUCUUGUUGGAUGGAAACAUCCCAAAGGAGCUGGUCACAGUUCCAUAGAGGAGCAGAAUGUAAUGUGGCAAUUAAGUAAUGGGAUAUUGUCUCAAGAACACUGAAGUUCACAAAUUCUUGGAAGCGGAAGAAUAUUGGGAUCUAGGAAGGCAAGGAAACCAUUGGGUAGAAGGAAGAGUAUGAGCUUGGGAAUGAGGGAGAAAUAGGAGGAAGUAAUCAGGCUCUGUGGUGCUGGCUAGUUGGAGGAGUUCAUGGUGAGCCUAUGGUUCAGAUUGAAUUCAGUGAUGCUUUGGAACUAUUUGAGUCAGGUGCUAGAGAACUAAAGUAAGUAAAGGCAACCUUCCAGCCUAUAGAAGAUAGCAAUUGAGUGCUUUACAUUUUAGCUUUAGGCCUUUCUGAAAAGUGGUCUGAUUUUUGUGUUUGAUCUGUAAGAGUCUCAAAGGAUGAGGUAGGAAAAAUGGCAUUAUUGAAGCAGUAGAUACAGAAUCAGAGUCUGAUUCCAAGGGAUAAAAGAUUCUGAGAUCCAGAUAAUACAACUUCCGUAAAACAAAUGCUAUGGUAAUAUAGAUGUAAGGCAGCUGGGAGGUGGACAGGGGUCUUGAAUUAGGAAAAAGGAGUCAACAUGCUUGUGAAGAAUGUUUGGAAGUGGGAAGUGGUUGAGAUUGUAAAGCAAUCUCAACGUUGGACUUGGCAACGUAGGUGUGACCAAAAAAGUCAAGCAUAGAGCAAAUACUAUUAAUUCUUAACCUUGAGCCGUAUCUUUUUAGUAAUUAGGAGAAUAGAAGGGUAUUUUUUUGACAUAUUACUUCCAGUCUUAUAUUUUCUUAUUGUUAAAUGAGGUGGAAGCCAAUAUGAGGAGGAGCUCAGUGCAGUUAAAAGUCUUGCACUUAUAUGUGAAAGUCAAAAUCCUUGAAGUUUGCUGAAUUGUAUAAUAUGAGAUACCAACCCAAAAUCUAGGCGUGGGGCAGAAAAGGUAGCCUGCAAGCAGUGUCAGUGUGUGCAAUAUGUGAUGUAAAUUAUUCAUGAUUUCAAUUAUUGGUUUCUCUCUGUGAUCCAAUGAUGCUCAGCGCAUAUGUCCAUUAUAGCAGGUUUACCUUUGUUCUGAAGAGGUGGAGUUACUUUUCUGUCUCUACCAAUGAUGUCUUCCUUUUUGAUUUCUUGGUACUUAAAACAGGAUGUGGCUUAUAGUUUAAAGUCAAUAAAUAUUUGAAUGAAGGAAUGCCCCAAAGAAUAAAGAGUAGACUCUUUUCCUUUAUAAUAUUAUUAUAUUUUAUGAAGCAGGUAUAAAUAAAUAUAAACCAUGCUAAUGAAGCACUUUGGCAAUUCCCUAUAAAUUUGCUGUAAUAGAAUAUGCCUAAAAGACUCAACAGGCUUCUUUGUUUCACUCUGGCUAAUGGACCUUUAGUCUUUGACAUUUUUUGAGCAUUUGCUUUAUGGCGGGCAGUGUGCUAAGCAUUAGGGAUUGUCUUCACCUGCUUUAAAACACCGUUGAUAUGGAAACGUAUUUGUUGAAACAUACAGAAGCCUGUGGUAUAAGGCAAUUGGUCGUUUUAUUGUCUCAAAUGUAGUGGCACUGUUACUUGAGCUUACUUCAGUUGGGUCUUAUAAAUCAAGUGUUAUCCAAGAAGAGAACACAGGAGGGCACCAAAGAACAAGAAACCAAACCAAACCAAACCCUGACGUGCUGGUUCUGGAAUUGAGGCCUUGCUAAAUAUAUGAUUACUCUGCAGUCUGUUUCUAGCUUCAGCGGAUGCUGGAGUAAGAAAACACGUGUAAAGAGAACUCAAAGAAUGGCCUUGCCCACAUGAUGCUCUAAAGCAUUUAAAGUCUCCCCCUAAAAAAAUAAAAAA